rnacentral:rRNA from 1 species
UACGUAGGGUGCAAGCGUUAAUCGGAAUUACUGGGCGUAAAGCGUGCGCAGGCGGUUUCGUAAGUCUGUCGUGAAAUCCCCGGGCUCAACCUGGGAAUUGCGUUGGAGACUGCAAGGCUGGAGUCUGGCAGAGGGGGGUAGAAUUCCACGUGUAGCAGUGAAAUGCGUAGAGAUGUGGAGGAACACCGAUGGCGAAGGCAGCCCCCUGGGUCAAGACUGACGCUCAUGCACGAAAGCGUGGGGAGCAAACAGG